rnacentral:rRNA from 1 species
CAGUCGCCGCGGGAAUACGUAGGUAGCAAGCGUUGUCCGGAAUUAUUGGGCGUAAAGGGCUCGCAGGCGGUUUCUUAAGUCUGAUGUGAAAGCCCCCGGCUCAACCGGGGAGGGUCAUUGGAAACUGGGAAACUUGAGUGCAGAAGAGGAGAGUGGAAUUCCACGUGUAGCGGUGAAAUGCGUAGAGAUGUGGAGGAACACCAGUGGCGAAGGCGACUCUCUGGUCUGUAACUGACGCUGAGGAGCGAAAGCGUGGGGAGCGAACAGGAUUAGAUACCCGGGUAGUCCCUGUCUCUUAUAA